AACACUAGCUUGAACAACACUAUGUUUAGCCUAACAUGUUUUAUUCCCAUGAUAAUGUCCGAUCAUUAGAACAAGUUUCCUUGAAGUGUGUUCUUUUCAAUCCAAACCCACCAUGUGAUCUACCUUUUGCUUCACUCAAAACCCUUUGCUUCUUUGAUCGUGCGAUUGAGGAUGAAACUUUAAAGGCGUUGGUUUCUAAGUUCCCUGUUCUUGAAGGCUUCACAAUUGACCGGUGCCAUAGAUUACGUAACUUUAAAGUUUCUUGGUGUCAAAGUAUGAUGCAUAGUUGACCAUGAUUUGAAUCUAGAAAUUGAUGUGUCAAGUUUGUCUACUUUUAAAUUCUGUGGAGAUUUAAUGAAGAUUUCUUUCACUUCUUUGCCUUCCAUUGUUGAAGCCACCGUUUUUCAAUGGAGUUAUAGAACAUAUGGGCAAGAAUUUUCCAUUAGAACAUGGUUAACAAAUCUUGUCCAUGUAAAGGAACUCAGUGUGAAUUCUUGGUUUUCUCAGUUUCUUGCUAGAGAACAUUAGGUAAACAAAAAUGGAUGGAAGAUUUUCAAAAAUCUUAAGCUCUUUUCUUGGUUUGGUCCAUCGGCAAAAGAGUGUGAGCUCAUGGCGCUAAUUGCCUCCUUGGGUUAUUGCCCCUCUUUGGGGAUGAUUGAAAUAGAUGUGAGUAAUUACUCAGUUUCCCUAAUUCUCAUCAUUCUAUUUGCAUAUGAUUCUUGAUGGAUUUGCAGUUUAGAUCUUCGUAUUGGGAAGAAGCUGGUGGGAGUAGACCAGCUUUUGCUUUGGAGCCUCCUUUUGUUGAGCUGAAAAAAGGAGAUGGGACAACUAAAAACAGAGUUUCUGCAUAAUGUGAAGGAUAUUAGUGUACAUAAUUUCUUUGGCUAUAAAAGUGAGAUUGAAUUUAUUAAGCAUCUGUUGCAGCAGGCAGUUGUUCUUGAGACGUUAUCUUUAACCUAUCAUAGACUUGAAUUUGAUCCUGAAUUUAGUGAUAGAUUAGUUGAAGAGGAAAUUUUUA